rnacentral:rRNA from 1 species
GACGAACGCUGGCGGCGUGCUUAACACAUGCCAGUCGAACGAUGAAGCGGUGCUUGCACCGUGGAUUAGUGGCGAACGGGUGAGUAAUACGUGAGUGACCUACCUUUGACUCUGGGAUAAGCCUGGGAAACUGGGUCUAAUACCGGAUACGACCAAUCUCUGCAUGGGGUGUUGGUGGAAAGCGUUAUGGAGUGGUUUUAGAUGGGCUCACGGCCUAUCAGCUUGUUGGUGAGGUAAUGGCUUACCAAGGCGACGACGGGUAGCCGGCCUGAGAGGGUGACCGGCCACACUGGGACUGAGACACGGCCCAGACUCCUACGGGAGGCAGCAGUGGGGAAUAUUGCACAAUGGGCGCAAGCCUGAUGCAGCGACGCCGCGUGAGGGAUGACGGCCUUCGGGUUGUAAACCUCUGUUAGCAUCGAAGAAGCGAAAGUGACGGUAGGUGCAGAGAAAGCGCCGGCUAACUACGUG